rnacentral:rRNA from 1 species
GUACAGCGGCGCACGGGUGCGUAACACGUGAGUAAUCUGCCCUGAAGCCCGGAAUAACCUCCCGAAAGGGAAGCUAAUGCCGGAUGAGCCCACGGGGUCCUUGGACCCUGAGAGAAAAGGCGGCCUCUGUAUACAAGCUGUCACUUCAGGAUGAGCUCGCGGCCCAUCAGCUAGUUGGCGGGGUAAUGGCCCACCAAGGCUACGACGGGUAGCUGGUCUGAGAGGACGAUCAGCCACACUGGAACUGAGACACGGUCCAGACUCCUACGGGAGGCAGCAGUGGGGAAUCUUGCGCAAUGGGCGAAAGCCUGACGCAGCAACGCCGCGUGUGUGAUGAAGGUCUUCGGAUCGUAAAGCACUGUCGCGAGGGACG